CUUCAUCAAUGUAUGCCACACGCAGACCGGGGUAACUGUAGUUUAAAAUUCAAAUUGGAAUUGAAUUGAAGCAAUUCCAUUUUUUUGGGAGAUUUCAUUCUAAUUAAAUGUUAACUACUGAAGUAAACAUCAACUGAACUAGUCUCGUAAAAUUGAACAAAAAACAUCUUAGAUAUGUCGUAUCUUGUAAUUGGCAAAAUGUUCCAAUUCUUAUUUCUUUCUCGGAAGAAAUGACUUACUUCACCCUCAAGUUCAAGAUAUCUGUUAGCACGCCGAUCACCAGA
rnacentral:lncRNA from 1 species